UAAAGAACUGUUACACUGCAGCCUAGGCUGGUCUGGAACUUAUUAUUGUGGCCCAAGUCAGCCUCAAACUCAUGGCAGUCCUCCCUCAGCAUCCCAAAUGCUAAGAUUUAUACAACUGAGCCAUCACGUCUGGCUGAGAAGAGUUUAAAUAUACAACAGCGUGGGGGCAGAUCACUUACAUAAAGAACCUUAGGAGAAGUAUACUACAGGCCAGCUGCAGGGAAGAAGAGUUAAGGGGAUAAAUCCCAGGUCUUUGGGAGUCCCACAUUAAUGGCUAGGAAGAACAAUUGACAUGCUAAGCAUGUGAGGGAGGCCUGGCCUAGUCUGCAUAACCAGCCUUCCACUAUCAAUAGAAGCUUUGUUAGGCUGAGCACUCAAGCCCCAUCUGAGGGCCAUCUUGUCUGAGUUGGUCAGGCUGGCUCAAAGAGGAGGGGUGCAAAGAGCACGACCACCUGAGUCCUCCAGCUGUGGAAAGCACUGACAAAGUAGCAUGCCCACACCAUCCCGAGAGCCAGAGCAGACAGGUGACCCCCAGCCCAGCCCCCAAUGUCCCAAAGCCAGGAAUAGGCAGUUCCUCUCAUUCUCUUAACUACCAGGGAUGGCUUCUACCUGGAAAGCUGCCUUAGGGCUCUUUUUUAAAUGAAGGGUUUUUGUUUUGUUUUUAAUUGUCUUAAUUUUCUGUUUUCUUAUGUCUUGACAGUGACAUUUUUGGGGAUAAAUUAAACAAUGCAUUCCUAUUUCACCGUUUAAAACUCAGAACGUAACGAAUUCCACUUAUUGGAAAUUCAUGCUGUUAGAGAUCCCCGAAGCACACUGAAUAAAAGGAGAUAAACUCUACCAACUGAGCUACAUUCUCAGUCUUCCCCAGCCCACCCCCCUUUUUAAAAAGCAGUGUUGGGGAGAUGGCUCAGCAGUAAAGAUCACUGGCUGCUCUUCCAAAGGACCAAGGUUUGAUUCUCAGCACCCACGUGGCAGCUCACUGUAACUCCAGUUCCAGGGGAUCUGACACCCUCUUCUGGCCUUUGUGGACACCAGGAAGUAAUCGAGCAAGGAGAGCUGUGACUGUUUCUUCACCUGGUGGAUGGACACAGCGUUGACGACGGGUUCAAUCAUGCCGCUGUCGGCGGAGAUCACGAGAAUCUUAUAUGGCUUGAUCCACAGAGGCACUCGCUCCUGCUCCCAAAUGGACUGUGAAGAGACACAAAGGCACCGAGAGUGGCUCAUCUGUCUCCAGAUCAGAGAAGAAGAAAUAAAAUUUCCUUCUCCUCAAUCUCUCCCUUGGUAUCUUGAACAUUAAGCAAGACUCACUGACCUACUAAGAACCAGGAAGUUUUUUGAGACAGGGACUCAUAUAGCCCAGGCUAGCCUUGAAUUCCUGAUCCCCAUCUCCACUUUACACAUUCUAGGAUUACAGGUGUAUGCAACCACAAAUAACAGAACCAGGAAGUUUGAAAAGGAAGUCCAGGGCCUGGCAAAGGGAGGAAACUACACAUAGAGGUUAAUAUGAGUUUGAAUAACAAGAACAAAAAUUAAAAAAAUGGAGUUUUAGGGGCAGAGAAAGCAUCUCUAGAAAAUGAAAAUAUGGAGCUGGAGAGAUGGCUCAAUGGUUGAGAGCACUGGUUGCUCUUCCAGAGGACCUGGGUUCAAUUCCCAGCACCCACAUGGCAGCUCACACCUGUGUGUAACUCCAGUUCCAGAGCUUCUGACACCCUCACACAGCCAUACAUGCAAGCAAAACACCAAUGCACAUAAAAUAAAAAUAAAUUAUAAAAAUUUAAAUACUACUGGAUGUAGUGGCAUAAGCCUGUAUUUCCAAUAUGUGGAAGGCAGAAGCAGGAGGAUCAGGAGUUUGAGGCCAGUGUUUACAAGUGAGAGUCAGAGGUCAACCUGAGCUACAUGAGAUCCUGUCUCAAAAACAAAACAAAAAAUGCAAGUACUUAAGCCAUGUGUCACAUACUGUAACCCUAGUAUUGGGAAGCUGAGGGAGGAGGUAGUGGGGUGUGGUACAAGGACAGUUGACAUUGGCUGAGAGUACAGAGGGUACAAAGCAAGGAACAUCUGGCUGAGGCUAUAAGUGAGGUCCUUUCUAAAAACAAAACCAAAACCAGGACAAAGUUCAAGCCACCUCUACCCCUCAAAAAACCUACAAACAAGCCAGUCGGUGGUGGCACACACCUUUAAUCCCAGCACUUGGGAGGCAGAAGCAGGUGGAUCUCUGAAUUUGAGGCCAGCCUGGUCUACAGAGCAAGUUCCAGGACAGCCAGGGCUACACAGAGAACCCUUGUCUCGAAAAACCAAAAAAAGAAAAAAAAAAAAAAACAACAAAAAACCCCAACCAAACAAACAAAAACUACAAAUAUUACAAAGCACUGGAUUGAACAGGUGAAGCCUCUUGCAGGUCACCAACCCAGGCAGACCAGGUGAUCAGUAUCUCAACACAGUAUAGCCAGGCCCAUCAGUUCACACCUGUAAUCCUAUUACUCAAGCUGAGGUAUGAGGAUUGUCAUGAAUUCAAGGCCAGCCUGAACUACAUAGUGAGACCUUGUCUCAAAAAGACAAAGCAAAGGCUAGAGAGAUGGCUCAGGGGUUAAGAGCACUUCCUGCUCUUGCUUAGGAUUUUAGUUCAGUUCCUACCACCCAUGUGGCUUCUCACAACUGUAACUCUAGUUCCAGGGGGAUCAGACACCCUGUUAUGGUCUCUAUGGAUACUGUACACAUACAUGCAUGGAAAACACCCAUACACAUGAAUAAAAAUGAAUAAAUAUUUUUUAAAAAAGACAAAACAAAACCCAAAUGCUUGAGCACAGAAUAAAUCCAUCCAACCCAGAUCAUUUGGGAAGUUCUGAUUUCAGGCACAAACCCAAAGCCCAGUGGUGCAUGCAUUUAACCCAGCACUUGGGAGGUGAGGGCAGAAGGAUCAAGAGCGCAAGGCCACCUUUGCUAUAACUGGGUUCGAAGCUAGCCUGAACCACGUGAGACCCUACGUGAAAUCACACUCCUCGGUCAAAAAAAGAAACUGACAUUCAGUGGUCAGAACAGGGCAGAACAUGUAGCUCCAGAAAGAACCAACAGAGGCCGCCCUAGAGCUCUUCAUCUUGUGGCUGUGGUUCUCUGGGGAAAGACAAGCCAGUUUCAGUUUAACUUUCCCAUUCAGACCUGGGUAGAAGCGGUGCCGGUGCUGGGCAGAGAGCUCCCUGAGAAAGCCUGUGUGGUCCCUGGAGCGCUGGGGAUGCACCCAGUUUUUCAUUGCUCCUUUCCCUGUGCGUUUUUGUUUCCUUUCCUCACCUGCAGUUGCUUCAACACCUGGAAAGCCAGCAGCUCCUGCCGAAGGUCAUCUCCACAUUUGACAAUGACUGACAGGAGCCGCCAAUUGGGAAGAUGGCCGUAGGGGGAGCCUUCUCUGAUCCUCCUAUGAAGAAAGAAGAGCCAGGGUGACGCCAGGAUAAGGACUCAGGCAGCAGUGGAAGUCUCAUGGAGUGUUUAGAGGUGAAAGGCAUUGGGGAGGAUGAAUAGCUCAAGCAAUGCCUCAAGUAUGGUGGCCCGAGGAUGAGGACAGAAUAAUGAGAUAAAGGAGAAAGACACAGGCUGACAGCUGGUGACUGGACACAGGAGAGGGAUAAAGUGACAAGCAGAGCCUGGAGAAGAGGUUAAAUGAAGGCUGAUGUGAUCUGGCCAUACCGGAUGUCCCCUGCUGCAAUGAACACAGGCUCCUUGCUCUCCUGGCUGGUGAUGCUGUCCACCGAGAACUGGGAGAUGUUGUCACAGCUGUUGGUAUGCACUUCAGGGAGCUGGGAAGAGCAGGUCAGAGGUGCUAAACACAAGAUCCCUCUUGCCCGCUGAUCACUUGCCCUGACUGUGGCGUACAGGCCUACCGCUUCAUUCCAGACUGCUCCCAAAGUCACCGUGGUUCCACACCAUUAUGGCCUUCUGGAGUUAUAGAUCUCACAGUGGUGUUCUCAAAGUGUGAACUACUCCAUCAUAAUUCAUGGAGAUGGGUAGGAAAUGCAGAUUCUCAGAUCUCACCAUCAGUCUAAAUUGGAACUACUGGGAAUGAAAUCUAGAAGCUAGAUUAUAGCAAAUUUUUCAGAAUACCCCCAACACCCUCAAGUUUGUACACCAUUGCCACAACUUUUGCAGAAAUCGUAUAGAUUUCUUUGACUAGUUCUUCAAUUUUUUUGUUUUGUUUUUUCGAGGCAGGGUUUCUGUGUGUGUAACUCUGGCUGUCCUGAAAUUUGCUCUGUAGACCAGGCUGGCCUUGAACUCACAGAUCUGCCUGCCUCUGCCUCUCAAGUGCUGGGAUUAAAGAUAUGCACCAUCACCGCCCGGCUUUUUUUUCUUUUUUGAGACAGGGACUCACGUUUCUCAGCCUGGCCUCAAAUUCCUGCCUUUCCUGCUUCCACUUGGGUGCUGGGACGGCAGGUGAGCCUCCACAUCCACCUUCCUCUUUUCAGCCUGACCCUCUAACCCACUUCUUACUGCAAUGCUUCUGCCAGCUAAUCCACUUGUGCAUCUUCAUUUUUCUCCUUGAAUCACUAUGUCUAACCUCGACUUGACUGUAAACAGAUAGAGAUCUGUCUUUUUCACCAAAUGCUGCUACAUAAAAUCCUGCUCUGCUUGCCUUUCUAUAACCCCAGAAUGAAGCUGGAAUUUCUUCCCACAGCCAACAGGACUGAAUGAGUGCAUGGCUUGUCAGGUCGUGUCACCCUCUCCAGCCUCAUUCGUCACUGCUUCUCACCUCAUACUACACAUCCAAUGCAUACAAGUUUCUUUCAGUUCCUAUCAUGGAACUGAAAUCCAUGCUCCAUUUUCUCUUUCAGUCUUUGUACACAUUCAUUCCUCUGUCUGAAUGUUCUUUGUUCUUCUAAUUCCAACCAUGCUUCAGGCCUCGGCUGAAAGACUACUUCCUCCAGGAAAUCUUUUGACUCCCACCCCAAGUCUGGAGUAAGAACCAACUCUGGGUACUUCCAUAAUGUCUCAUGCUCCCCACGACAGUGCAGAUCACACCAUACUACAAAAAAACUACCAGCUGUCUGGUCUGAUUCUCUGUUAGGUCAUAAAUUCCUUGCAGGUAUAAGCCAAGUCUUGUUCACUAGCAUACAGUACUCAGGUGUGGAACACAGAAAGCCCUCCAUAAACUUUUUUUCUUUUUAAUUUUUCAAGAAGGGUACAGACUGGGCUCAAAUUCUCUAUAUAGCCAAGGCUUGCCUUAACCCCAAACCUUCUGCCUCAACCUUUUAGGUGCUGGGAUUAUAGCUGUAAGUCACUACACACAGAUAUUAAUAUUUCUCUCUUUUUAAAAUAUUUAUGUAUAUAUGUGCACCAUGUACAUACAGUGUCCACAGAGGCCAGAAGAGGGCAGAUGGUCCUCUAAAACUGGAGUUACAGACAGUUGUGAGCCACUACAAAGGCACUGGUAACUGAACCCAAUUCUCUACAAGAGCAGUCAGUGCUCUUACUGUGAGCUAUGUCU